rnacentral:rRNA from 1 species
AUUGAACGCUGGCGGCAGGCCUAACACAUGCAAGUCGAGCGAGCGGCGGACGGGUGAGUAAUGUAUGGGGACUGCCCGAUAGAGGGGGAUAACUACUGGAAACGGUAGCUAAUACCGCAUACUAUCGGAUAACCCAUAGGGGAUUAGCUUGUAGGUGCGGUAACGGCUCACCUAGGCGACGAUCCCUAGCUGGUCUGAGAGGAUGAUCAGACACACGGGGACUGAGACACGGCCCAGACGCCUACGGAGGCAGCAGUGGGGAAUAUUGCACAAUGGGCGCAAGCCUGAUGCAGCCAUGCCGCGUGUAGGAAGAAGGCCUUCGGGUUGUAAAGUACUUUCAGUCGGGAGGCGUUACCGACAGAAGAAGCACCGGCUAACUCCGUGCCAGCAGCCGCGGUAAUAC